UGGGGUUUUAAGGAUUCUUAAAAAUUAUUCUGGUUAUGUUUUUCAAAUUAACACUAUAUCUUUUCAGGUUGUAAAGCCCCAACAGGAGGCAAUAAGGGAGCAAGCAGAAAGAAGAAACUAUGGAAAAAGCUGUGUGUGCUAUAGACUAUAUAAGACAUGACAUCUCAAGACUGAUGAUACGGAUCUCUAACUUCUAUGGAUUAUAUUACAAGACAAUGAAAAGAAUACUGGCCCUCAGGUCAGUUUCAAAUUCCACCUCUAUGAUUUAAGGAAAAUGAUAUAAUCUACCUGGGAUGUACUUGCCU
rnacentral:lncRNA from 1 species